rnacentral:rRNA from 1 species
AUUGAACGCUGGCGGCAGGCCUAACACAUGCAAGUCGAGCGAGCGGCGGACGGGUGCGUAAUGUAUGGGGACUGCACGAUAGAGGGGGAUAACUACUGGAAACGGUGGCUAAUACCGAAUACUAUCGGUUAACCCCUAUGGGAUUAGCUAGUAGGUGGGGUAAAGGCUCACCUAGGCGACGAUCUCUAGCUGGUCUGAGAGGAUGAUCAGCAACACGGGGACUGAGACACGGCCCGGACUCCUACGGAGGCAGCAGUGGGGAAUAUUGCACAAUGGGCGCAAGCCUAAUGCAGACAGGCCGCGUGUAUGAAGAAGGCCUUAGGGGUGUAAAGUACUUUCAGCGGGGAGGCGUUACCCGCAGAAGAAGCACCGGCUAACUCCGUGCCAGCAGCCGCGGUAAUUC